rnacentral:rRNA from 1 species
CCUACGGGUGGCAGCAGUAGGGAAUAUUGCUCAAUGGGGGAAACCCUGAAGCAGCAACGCCGCGUGGAGGAUGAAGGUUUUCGGAUUGUAAACUCCUUUUGUUAGAGAAGAUAAUGACGGUAUCUAACGAAUAAGCACCGGCUAACUCCGUGACAGCAGCCGCGGUAAUACGGAGGGUGCAAGCGUUACUCGGAAUCACUGGGCGUAAAGAGCGCGUAGGCGGGAUAGCAAGUCAGAUGUGAAAUCCUAUGGCUUAACCAUAGAACUGCAUUUGAAACUGUUAUUCUAGAGUAUGGGAGAGGUAGGUGGAAGUCUUGGUGUAGUGGUAAAAUGCGUAGAGAUCAAGAGGAAUACUCAUUGCGAAGGCGACCUGCUAGAACAUAACUGACGCUGAUGCGCGAAAGCGUGGGGAGCAAACAGGAUUAGAUACCCUAGUAGUC